AUGAAGGAUCAGUAGAGAAUCAAAACCACCCAUGUUUCAGGUCUAGUUAAAAAAGGACCAUCAUCUCAACAUCCGUCAUCCAGCCAAUUUUUCCCUACUAGAAUCCUGCUGGACGAGGACUGUUGGGAACCACUGCUAUCAGAAAGUGGAAACCAUAGGAAAACUACCCAUGGAUGAUG